CACGUAGGGGGCAAGCGUUGUCCGGAUUUAUUGGGCGUAAAGAGCUCGGUAGGUGGUUCGGUAAGUCAGGUGUGAAACCUCCAGGCUCAACCUGGAGACGCCACUUGAUACUGCUGUGACUGGAGUCCGGUAGGGGAGCGUGGAAUUCCUGGUGUAGCGGUGAAAUGCGCAGAUAUCAGGAGGAACACCAGCGGCGAAGGCGGCGCUCUGGGCCGGUACUGACACUGAGGAGCGAAAGCGUGGGUAGCAAACAGG
rnacentral:rRNA from 1 species